CGUCUCUGUGGUUUGUAAGGUAGGUUGCAGUGUGUGUAUAUACACAACAUCAAGAGCAGGAAAAUGGACUCAUUAGGGAGGCAGGCAGUCAUUACCACUCACACUGUACUUCCAGGGAGACACCGAUUAUGAGAAGAGAAACUCAGCGCUGGGGAAGAAGUCACACAAAAAGAAGUGUUAAGAAUUUCCCUUUGAGGCUCUGAAGGCUAAAGGUAAUGUCCAGUAUUUUGUUCAAUAGGUUUUCAACUUCCUGAAAAGCUUCAUAAUAUUAAAGACCUUCAGCUUACUCCCUCAGAUCUUUUCUUUAUUUUCCUUUAACACAUUAAACAAACAUUUCUAUGUAUACCUAAAAAUAAUCUAACAUUAGGAGUCAAAAAAGAAAAAGGCUUUUGUUGUUUCAGAAUAUGUCAGCCUAAUUUGAUGUUGCAGUACCCCUUCAGCCUUCUAUUUGGGAAUAUACUAUGGUCCCUCCCCUGAUUUUUGAAGCAGUUUGGAACUCUUCUCAUCUUAUGCCCUGUCCUUUUCCUAAAUAGACACCUUGGCUCAAAGUAAAAAAGUCAGUAGCUAUCCCUCUUUAGGAAGAGCUUUACAACUAACUAUAAGAAAUAAAAAUACAUUUUUGAGGAGACAACAAAACCAUGUAGACAAGAUAUAAUGGCUACUCAUAGUCAGAAAUCCAGAAUUUCAGGCAAGAAGUUUACAAUAGAUGUGUGGCUGCAUUGUGUGUAAAGAGCUCAUAGGGUUUGAAGAAAGGUUCUGAUACAAGAGGGGGCUGUGAUUACUUUGCUUCUUACAUGCAUGGUUAGAUCUUCCAGCAAGAAUAGCAUGGUAGGGUAAUUUAUUACAGAGGAGUAAAUCACAGAUUACAUUGGAGGGGGAAGGGGUGGUGUGAUCCAACCAUCAGUUUUGUGAACACAUACACUUAAGCAUGUGUGAUAGCUUGUUUUUAAUUUCUUUACAUCGGUGCACACCUCAAACAUUCCAUUUAGCAGUGGGAUAUGCAAAUUGUUCCAAAUGCAGCAGCAGUACUUUCACCUGAAUGUCAAAACUGUCAGGGAGCUUUAAAUCAAAUCUUUAUAACAUUGAAAAAAAAAAAAAAACAGCCAGCCCCAA